rfam:Ixodes scapularis strain Wikel colony gcontig_1108378822990, whole genome shotgun sequence.
CCCUGGUUAGCUCAGUUGGUAGAGCGCUCCACCUGUAAUGGAGAGGUCCCGGGUUCGAUACUCAGACCAGGCG